GAUGAACGCUAGCGGCAGGCCUAAUACAUGCAAGUCGAGGGGCAGCACGAGUACUUGUACUUGGUGGCGACCGGCGCACGGGUGCGUAACGCGUAUGCAACCUACCUAUUACUGGAGGAUAGCCCGGGGAAACUCGGAUUAAUACUCCAUAGUAUUACCAGAUGGCAUCUGACGGUAAUUAAAGAUUUAUUGGUAAUAGAUGGGCAUGCGUACCAUUAGCUAGUUGGUAAGGUAACGGCUUACCAAGGCUACGAUGGUUAGGGGGCCUGAGAGGGUGAUCCCCCACACUGGUACUGAGAUACGGACCAGACUCCUACGGGAGGCAGCAGUAGGGAAUAUUGGUCAAUGGGCGAGAGCCUGAACCAGCCAUGCCGCGUGCAGGAAGACGGCCUUCUGGGUUGUAAACUGCUUUUGACAGGGAAGAAAACGUCCAUGCGUGGAUAAUUGACGGUACCUGUAGAAUAAGCACCGGCUAACUCCG
rnacentral:rRNA from 1 species